UGUUUGAAGCUAUACAGGAUUCUAAAAGUGGUUCACCAAGUGCAAUUUUGGCAACAAUGUUUUUGGACUCUAUAUGGUUGUAUCACCAAAAUUGUGGUUGCAAUCACUGCAAUUGUCCAAAGCUAUCCUCUAUGUCAAAUAUCUCAACAAAGCUAUUAUGCAAACUAGAGCUGGGCAUAGUUCACUUGAAAACCAUAAACUAUAGUUAAUCUGUACUAUUUUGUGCUUAAAAAACUUAAAUUACUUUUACUAAAAACUUAUCAUACUAUUUAAUAGUUCAAUUUAAAAAUACUGUUUAGGUCAUUCUUCUCUCACAAUUUUCUCCCCUUCUUUUUACAUCCUAUUAUAUUCCUUUCUCAACUUGCCGCCAUUCAAAGCUUGUGGUUAUUGAAGGCUCGUUGUCGUUGAAGGUUUGUUGUCGCCGUCGAUGCUUUGCUGCAGCCGUCGAAGGCUCACCUCAUCGUUGAAGGUUUUUCCGUACUCUACCAACAUCGUCGAUGGUUCAAUGCCGUUGAAGGCUCGUCGCCGUUGAAGGCCCACCGCUAUCGAAUGUUCUUCCGCUCUUUGUCGUCACGGAACUGUUGAAGGCUCUACCACCAUUUCACUCUAAGGUUUUAAUCAAGACAGAAUGAGGUGUCAAGAAGAAUAUCCCUAAAGAAUUACGAACUCUAUUCAGUGUCCAGCUUAGAAUCCAGAUGAAUAUUUGGCAUAGGUGGUGAUGCAUUGGAAUCUUUGGUGCUACAUUCUUUUGGUAUUGGACGAAGUUGAUGAAUUCCUUGUCUUUCAAUCCCUGGGAAGACAUGCACAGGAUAUUGGAGCAUAUAGGGAGGACAUCAAGUGCAGACUCAAGCUUAAAAGCUUAAAUUCAUCAUGUACAUUCUUACUUUAGAUUUAGCUUUGACACUAUUUAGAGUGCUUUUAAUUGUCAGUUAGAUAACUGUUAA